rnacentral:rRNA from 1 species
CCUACGGGAGGCAGCAGUGGGGAAUAUUGGACAAUGGGCGCAAGCCUGAUCCAGCCAUGCCGCGUGAGUGAUGAAGGCCCUAGGGUUGUAAAGCUCUUUCACCGGAGAAGAUAAUGACGGUAUCCGGAGAAGAAGCCCCGGCUAACUUCGUGCCAGCAGCCGCGGUAAUACGAAGGGGGCUAGCGUUGUUCGGAUUUACUGGGCGUAAAGCGCACGUAGGCGGAUCGAUCAGUCAGGGGUGAAACUCCCAGAGCUCAACUCUGGAACUGCCUUUGAUACUGUCGAUCUGGAGUAUGGAAGAGGUGAGUGGAAUUCCGAGUGUAGAGGUGAAAUUGUAGAUAUUCGGAGGAACACCAGUGGCGAAGGCGGCUC